UUUAUUUAUUUAUUUAUUUAUUUGUGUGCUUUUAUAUGUGAUUCUGACCUGGGGCACAAAGAGCAGUAGGGCAGCCUUUCAUUUGCAACAAGAAGCAAGCAAUGGAGAAGGGAGGUGCAGGAGAAGAGAAUGAAGAAGACCCAUCUUAUUGACAAAUGAUUGAGAGUACUUAACAGCAAAGAUCAAACAGUAGCCUGGAAAAUAAGGGGAUGCUCUGCUUACAUUGGCAUGACAUCUUACGCGAGCACAAAUGUUUCAGCAUGCCAUCACUUAGAUUUCUACCAGGGAAAAGGGCAGAGAUUUUGAGCAGAAUGGAGAAGACAAAGAAUCUUGCAUCAGUACUUU
rnacentral:lncRNA from 1 species